UUGAGUCCUCUGCCUAGGAAGGAGGGCGACGCCCUGUGUUUGCUGCUAGUUUUGCAGCUAGCCGGAUCCUGGGAAGAUCAGGCUGCGGGGCCUGGCUACAGAGAUGAAAGGAAAACAGUAAGAACGUGUUUGCUACCAGCGCGAUCUUCAAUUUCUGCAAGAAAGAUUUGAAUCUGCCUGUCGUCUCUAAGGUACCUAGCAAGCGGGUAUCUGAGCACCAGAAACAAUAAAAGUUCAAGUCUCCUAGAGUGGCUCAUUGCAGUGCUGAUGUCUUCUUUGAUGCCUCAACACCAAAGCCUUUGGCUCCUAUGUAUUUCAAGGAAGAUUUUUCAGAUGCACUCCUUGAGUCUAAUCUCUACAAUCCUUUAAUCAUUCUCAUGGCUCUUCUCUGAAACUCUACAAUAUAUCAACAUCCUUCUUGAAUUAUGGGCACCAGACCUAGAUGCAGUAUUCCAGCAGCAGUUGCACCAGUGCCAAAU